rnacentral:misc_RNA from 1 species
CCGUAAAGGUGAUGAGUGGUGUUUGGUUUGUUACGUGUGGUUGGCUGCGGCGUUUGCAACAACUUCCAUGCUUUCAGACCUCUUCAGUUGUGCGGCAAGGCUUGAAUCGCCUUGAGCGUAUUGUGGGUUUUCUGUGUUGUCUACCUAAUCAAUGGUAUCGUUUGGAUUGAUCAAAGUUUGAUUUCGUCUUCCGUCGCGUUUGCGGCGUGAGGUGAACCUUGAUGUGGUCUCUUUGAUCCAUCUCGUCGAAGCACAUGCUUUGACGUUGUGGCACAUUGAGCAUUGCUUGGUCUCUUGUAUACGGAACACGUAGUGGGCAUGGAUCUAACGAUUCUUGUUUGCCCUCAUAUUAGCGUAACUCUUCUCUAACACGACUUGCACCAUGUUUUAGCUUGUACGGACGUGGUGCUAUGUCGCAGAGGAUUGCUACCUGGUUGAUCCUGCCAGUAGUCAWUGAUGCUUGUCUCAAAGAUUAAGCCAUGCUGGUGUAAGUA